AACGAACGCUGGCGGCAUGCCUAACACAUGCAAGUCGAACGAGACCUUCGGGUCUAGUGGCGCACGGGUGCGUAACGCGUGGGAACCUGCCCUUAGGUUCGGAAUAACUCCCCGAAAGGGGUGCUAAUACCGGAUAAUGUCUUCGGACCAAAGAUUUAUCGCCUUUGGAUGGGCCCGCGUUGGAUUAGCUAGUUGGUAGGGUAAAAGCCUACCAAGGCGACGAUCCAUAGCUGGUCUGAGAGGAUGAUCAGCCACACUGGGCUGAGACACGGCCCAGACUCCUACGGGAGGCAGCAGUGGGGAAUAUUGGACAAUGGGCGCAAGCCUGAUCCAGCAAUGCCGCGUGAGUGAUGAAGGCCUUAGGGUUGUAAAGCUCUUUUACCCGGGAUGAUAAUGACAGUACCGGGAGAAUAAGCUCCGGCUAACUCCGUG
rnacentral:rRNA from 1 species